rnacentral:rRNA from 1 species
UACGAAGGGGGCUAGCGUUGUUCGGAAUUACUGGGCGUAAGGGCGCGUAGGCGGCUUGGCAAGUGGAAGGUGAAAUCCCUCGGCUUAACCGAGGAACUGCCCUCCAAACUGCUUCGCUUGAGACCGGGAGAGGUGAGUGGAAUUCCCAGUGUAGCGGUGAAAUGCGUAGAUAUUGGGAGGAACACCAGUGGCGAAGGCGGCUCACUGGACCGGAACUGACGCUGAUGCGCGAAAGCGUGGGGAGCAAACGGGG